rnacentral:lncRNA from 1 species
CAGGAGUAUCGCUUAAACCCAGGAGACAGAGGUUGCAGUGAGCUGAGAUUGUGCCACUGCACUCCAGCCUGGGUGACAGAGUGAGACUCCGUCUCAAAAAACAAACGAACAAACAACAAACAACAACAAAAAGACCCUAUCUCUAUAAAACACAAAUUUUUAAAAAGGGAAAUUCUUGACUACAUCAGAAACAAGUGACGAUAAGGAAAAUUGUGCUUUCAUCUGGAAUAAAAUCCUUUAUAACAGGCCACCGGGCAAAGAACCCUCUUCUCCUACCCCACACCCCACCUACUUGGCCACAGACCUACUGCCCCAGAGGCAAUCCAGCCCUGGGUGUGGAGGGACACACCACAGGGUUGCACCGGGGGCUCAGAACACCAUUCUCUCUCCUUCCUUGAGUCUGAUUUAUUACUAUGAAGGCACUAUAUAAACACAAAGCCAAAUGACUCAUGGCAACAAAGCUGAAUGAAACUCCAACAAAAGGCACGUCCUUGGUGCCUUCCGCUCCUUCCCCACAUCACAGGGCCCUUCUAGCAGUCUGUACCAAGCUCAAGCCUCUUUUCCAAUUGCCGUCCCAAGAAGCGUGUCCUGGAGCUUCCUGAGUGCCCCCAUCCCAUGUCACCAAGGCCUUCUUCUCCCUGCUGCCCUCUUCCUCAAACGUCCCCCAUCUGCCUCCGGCCCCACUCACCCAGAGCUGCUCUCUGUGCUUGGGUUUUUCAAUCCCCAAUUCUAAAGGGGCAGGCACAGUAGAAAAGGGAAUGGAAGGAGGCUUGAUGUGGGCAUCAGUGGGAAGAUUUGGAAGAAAUUGGAGAAGGGACUUUGCUUACUGCUCAGUCAUCAAAACCGUUCUAUAGCAGAUUUCAUGAAGAAAAGACACUCAGCUGAAGGCCUACGGGAAACUUCCUUGUCUCCAAGGCCCAUAAGCUCUGUCCAUCAAUCUGUUUGGGAAGUGCCUCCUCACAUCUAGCUUCAACCCCUCUUGCUGCAGUUGGUCCUUUCUCUAAGGAGUCAGAGGCACGCUGGGGCUCUGUUAACUGGUCAGGCCUCCACGGUAAGACUUUCCAUUCCCUCAUUCAGUCUCCAAAGCUGGGGGGAUGCAGCUGUCCAAGGAGUGCUGUGCCCUGGAGCUAUGCCAACACUGGCACGGAACAGGGUGCAGACCCGAGUGGGCAGGUUGUGAAAGGCAGGCCCGGGGCUGUGGCUCCUCUGGGAGAUUCAACAGGUCCCCGACGAGAGGACAGGAAGGAGUCCCCAGGCCCGACCACCACCCCCGCCUCCGGCGUCCUUGCAUUUUCUGAAGUUUCUCCUUUGAACACGCUCCUUUAUUUAUUGGGCCUCGUUUAACCUCAGCCAUGUCCUCCCAAGAUCAUUUAUUUGGUAACUGUCACUCAGCCUGCUCUGGCAUUAACCUCGUAAUCCUAUUGAUUUCCUCCAAGGUAGUUGGAGGUUUUUCCCGUCUUCUUGCCGGGCAGGUAGGGACUGAUUCUCAGUUCCAUUAUCGAGGAAGACGCCCCAGGCUGGUAAGGGGCCUGCCCGGAGGCCGUCUGGAGUUUCCUCGUUCUCACUGUGGCUCUCGCCAGCCUGCGGGAGACCGAUUCCUGAGGUCACCUCGGCUGCUUAAGUGUGAGAGUGAUGACAGCAAGCUGGUGGAAUAGGAGACUCCAGUCCUCAUACUUCCAUAGAAACAUCAAUUUUGACAACCAUCCAUGGACAAGAAGAGUACCUCAAGUAGGAAACCAGGAGUCCAGUGAAGCAAUUAUAGAACUCUGUUUAAGCCAAAAAAAAAAAAAAAAAGAAAGAAAGAAAGAAAAGAAAAAACAACUAAGACUAGAUGCGUUGAUGAAGCUGCCUGCAGCCAAGCCCCCUGCCACAUGAAGAAGCCCAUCUGUGGUAGGAGAGAGUGAUGCCAACACACAGAGAAAAGAAACGAGAGAGAAAGCAGAGAGAGAGAGACAGAGAGAGCGAGCAUUCUGAAGGCCAGCUCCCCUUCCCCUGUGCUUCCCAGGUCCUGUGCUUGCCAAUAAACUGC